rnacentral:rRNA from 1 species
UGGGUGACCUGCCCUCAGCUCUGGGAUAAGCCCGGAAAACUGGGUCUAAUACCGGAUAUGACUCCUCAUCGCAUGGUGGGGGGUGGAAAGCUUUAUUGUGGUUUGGAUGGACUCGCGGCCUAUCAGCUUGUUGGUGAGGUAAUGGCUCACCAAGGCGACGACGGGUAGCCGGCCUGAGAGGGUGACCGGCCACACUGGGACUGAGACACGGCCCAGACUCCUACGGGAGCAG